rnacentral:rRNA from 1 species
GGGCCCGCACAAGCAGUGGAGUAUGUGGUUUAAUUCGAAGCAACGCGAAGAACCUUACCAGGUCUUGACAUCCAACGACCGCCUAAGAGAUUAGGCUUUCCUUCGGGACGUUGAGACAGGUGGUGCAUGGUUGUCGUCAGCUCGUGUCGUGAGAUGUUGGGUUAAGUCCCGCAACGAGCGCAACCCUUAUUACUAGUUACUACGCAAGAGGACUCUAGUGAGACUGCCGUUGACAAAACGGAGGAAGGUGGGGAUGACGUCAAAUCAUCAUGCCCUUUAUGACCUGGGCUACACACGUACUACAAUGGCUAUUAACAGAGAGAAGCAAGACCGCAAGGUGGAGCAAACCUCAGAAAAAUAGUCUCAGUUCGGAUUGGGGGCUGCAACCCGCCCCCAUGAAGCCGGAAUUGCUAGUAAUCGCGGAUCAGCAUGCCGCGGUGAAUACGUUCCCGGGCCUU